AUUGAACGCUGGCGGCAGGCCUAACACAUGCAAGUCGAGCGGAUGAGAGGAGCUUGCUUCUCGAUUCAGCGGCGGACGGGUGAGUAAUGCCUAGGAAUCUGCCUGGUAGUGGGGGACAACGUUUCGAAAGGAACGCUAAUACCGCAUACGUCCUACGGGAGAAAGCAGGGGACCUUCGGGCCUCGCGCUAUCAGAUGAGCCUAGGUCGGAUUAGCGAGUUGGUGAGGUAAUGGCUCACCAAGGUGACGAUCCGUAACUGGUCUGAGAGGAUGAUCAGUCACACUGGAACUGAGACACGGUCCAGACUCCUACGGGAGGCAGCAGUGGGGAAUAUUGGACAAUGGGCGAAAGCCUGAUCCAGCCAUGCCGCGUGUGUGAAGAAGGUCUUCGGAUUGUAAAGCGCUUUAAGUUGGGAGGAAGGGUUGUAGAUUAAUACUCUGCAAUUUUGACGUUACCGACAGAAUAAGCACCGGCUAACUCUGUGCCAGCCGCCGCCGUAACAC
rnacentral:rRNA from 1 species